rnacentral:rRNA from 1 species
GACGAACCGUGCGAACGUUGUUCGGAAUCACUGGGCUUAAAGGGCGCGUAGGCGGGCUGUCAAGUCUGGGGUGAAAUGCCGCGGCUCAACCGUGGAACUGCCUUAGAUACUGACGGCCUCGAGGAAGGUAGGGGCAUGCGGAACUGUAGGUGGAGCGGUGAAAUGCGUUGAUAUCUACAGGAACUCCGGUGGCGAAAGCGGCGUGCUGGACCUUUUCUGACGCUGAGGCGCGAAAGCUAGGGGAGCAACGGGG